rnacentral:rRNA from 1 species
UACGUAGGGUGCAGGCGUUAAUCGGAAUUACUGGGCGUAAAGCGUGCGCAGGCGGUUUGCUAAGACAGGUGUGAAAUCCCCCGGGCUUAACCUGGGAACUGCGCUUGUAACUGGCAAGCUAGAGUGUGGCAGAGGGGGGUGGAAUUCCAGGUGUAGCAGUGAAAUGCGUAGAUAUCGGGAGGAAUACCGAUGGCGAAGGCAGGUCUCUGGGCUGACACUGACGCUCAUGCACGAAAGCGUGGGGAGCAAACAGG